rnacentral:rRNA from 1 species
CGAGCACGCGCGUGUGGCAUAUCAAUAAGCGGAGGAAAAGAAACUAACAAGGAUUCCCUUAGUAACGGCGAGUGAAGCGGGAAGAGCUCAAAUUUGAAAUCUUCAAGGUUCUACCUUGACGAAUUGUAGUUUAUAGAAGUGUUUUCUGUUAGUAGAGUGGCAAAAGUUCUUUGGAGUAGGACAUCAUAGAGGGUGAGAAUCCCGUAUUUGGUCAUUCCUCCUAGCUUUGUGAUACACUUUCAACGAGUCGGAUUGUUUGGGAAUGCAGUCCAAAAUGGGUGGUAAAUUUCAUCUAAAGCUAAAUAUUGGCGAGAGACCGAUAGCGAACAAGUACCGUGAGGGAAAGAUGAAAAGAACUUUGAAAAGAGAGUUAAACAGUACGUGAAAUUGUCAAAAGGGAAGCGUUUGACACCAGUGUUGUUUUUCCGAAAAUCAAUUACGAAUGUUUUAUUUUUGAGGAGUUAUGACUUCAUCGGCUUGCUCCUUUCUUUAUGAAACUUUCUUAAUGCACUUUUCGGUUAACAAGUCAACAUCAAUUUCUUUUGUUGUAAAAGGGUAUGAGGAAGGUGGCUUUCUUUUCGGAGAAAGUGUUUAUAGCCUUGUGCCUCUGCAAUCGGAGAGAUUGAGGUCUGCAGCGUAGAUCCUUCGGGGUUAGAUACGUUUGUGCUAAGUUAUAGCUUUUCAUAGACAACUUGUUGACUAUGUUUAGUCUUGUAGCUUACUCGCUGACGCUAUUUUACCUACGCUUAGGAUGUUGAUGUGAUACUGCGAGCA